CAACAAUUAUGACUAAGCGUAUCUUUUUUUAUUUUUUUUUGACAGGGUCCAAGAGGCUCAAGAGGUCCAAGAGGUCCAACUGGCAAACCAGGUCCAAAGGUAAUUGUCAGACACACAAUGUAAGUCAGCUGCAGGCCGUUUCUUUUAAAUAAAAUAGAGGUUUAACCUUUGAACGUACUGUUUUUUUCUUUCUAGGGUACUGCAGGCAAUGACGGUCCUCCUGGCCCACCAGGUGAAAGGGGACCACAAGGGCCUCAGGGACCUGUUGGAUUUCCUGGACCAAAAGGACCUCCAGGGCCACCUGGAAAAGAUGGCUUGCCUGGGCAUCCAGGACAGCGGGGUGAAACUGUAAGUAAAUGAACUCUACUGUGCUAGUGUUGCAAACCUCUUAAGGCCAUUAUAAUGUGACCAAAACUAAAGAAACAGAGAUAACAGAGAAAAGGGAAGAGGCUGGGACUAGAAGAUAACUGUGGUUUUCUUUGUAGGUUUAGUAGUUUAGGCGUAAGAAAGCUUUAUUUUGUUUCCAUACUACAAAAGUGAUAUUAUUCUUUGCUCUGCUCAGUUAGUAACAUCACAGUGUGCUUAACUAGUCAAUAGAAGUAGAAAAAUUAAUACUCAGAUCUCAAAUUUAGUUAAGAUUUGUCAGGCAACUACUAUAUCAUCUUUGAUCACUAUAUCAUCUUUUCUGAUUGAAUGUCAUGUAACAUGGCAUAAUAAAGAAUUACUACUUAACACUAAACAGAUAGGAAACUCAAAAGUCAGCAGCUUUGGAAAGUGCUAUCAGGAAUGAUUCAACCUGUGAAAAAAAGAGCCCAAUUAUGAAACUGUAUUCUAUGCAAUUCCCCUAAAAAUCCUCAUAAGUACAUCUUGGAAGCAAAAUUUGAAAAGUAACACACA
rnacentral:lncRNA from 1 species